GACGAACGCUGGCGGCGUGCUUAACACAUGCAAGUCGAACGGAAAGGCCCUGUUCUUGUGGGGUGCUCGAGUGGCGAACGGGUGAGUAACACGUGAGUAACCUGUCCUUGACUUCGGGAUAACUCAUGGAAACUGGGGCUAAUACCGGAUAGGAGUUCUUGCUGCAUGGUGGGGGAUGGAAAGUUUCGGCGGUUUGGGAUGGACUCGCGGCUUAUCAUCUUGUUGGUGAGGUAGUGGCUUACCAAGGCGUUGACGGGUAGCCGGCCUGGGAGGGUGACCGGCCACAUUGGGACUGAGGUACGGCCCGGACGCCUACGGGAGGCAGCAGUGGGAGAUAGUGCACGAUGGGCGGAAGCCUGAUGGAGGAACGCCGCGUGCGAGAUGACGGCCUUCGGGUUGGAAACCGCUUUCGCCUGUGACGAAGCGUGAGUGACGGUAAUGGGUAAGGAAGCACCGGCUAACUACGUG
rnacentral:rRNA from 1 species